CCCAUGCAUAACCUGCCAAAGGCCAAUAUUUGAUCUCCUAGUACUGUGGUUUCCAUCAUUUACAAAGACAUAGGCCUGGCAAGGCCAAAAGGUCAAGUAUGACAAGAAGAGUGUGUUUUAGCAUAGCAACCUAGAGUGCACAGACUACAAAUGGGAGUGGCACUAGACAAGACUAUAACCAACACCAGGGCUACUGCCAAAGUAAGCUCACACAGCACAUACAUGCACAGAGAAUCAAUUUGUUAGUUUUCAAGAAAAACCUGUGGAGGGAAACCCUGGGUAUGAAUUUGCUCUUUUCAUUCAAGAAUGGAUAAAGGAAAAGAAAGAUACUCCAGGGGAAGUAAGGUUAUAAUGAACUCUCCUGUAAAAGACACCCAGAAGAAGAGCAGCA